rnacentral:rRNA from 1 species
CCUACGGGAGGCUGCAGUGGGGAAUAUUGCACAAUGGGGGAAACCCUGAUGCAGCGACGCCGCGUGAGUGAAGAAGUAUUUCGGUACGUAAAGCUCUAUCAGCAGGGAAGAAAAUGACGGUACCUGACUAAGAAGCCCCGGCUAACUACGUGCCAGCAGCCGCGGUAAUACGUAGGGGGCAAGCGUUAUCCGGAUUUACUGGGGGUAAAGGGAGCGUAGACGGCAGCGCAAGUCUGGAGUGAAAUCCCAUGGCUUAACCAUGGAACUGCUUUGGAAACUGUGCAGCUAGAGUGCAGGAGAGGUAAGCGGAAUUCCUAGUGUAGCGGUGAAAUGCGUAGAUAUUAGGAGGAACACCAGUGGCGAAGGCGGCUUACUGGACUGUAACUGACGUUGAGGCUCGAAAGCGUGGGGAGCAAACAGGAUUAGAUACCCUGGUAGUC